UGAUUCCCGCAUACCAUAAACCCUUGCAAUUCAAUUCCCAAGUCUCCUUCCAUUGUUUGUCAAAAAGCUGUGAUAUAUUUUGUUUUAAUAAAGAUAGAACAUCUCCCGCUGGUAGUGAGCAAGAUUUUAAUUCAAUGCAGUUACCAUAACGCACUAUAGUUUUGGCGAAAUAAUCUACACUUUCGUUACCCUUCACACCUAUGUGUGAUGGAGUCCAUAGUAAUAUUAUAUCCUUAUGAUGAUUCUGACAGAGAUCAUAGUACUUUUCUCUUAUUUUAUGUGUUAUAAAUGAGGUGGUAGAAUCAAAUUUUGGAUUAUUAAGCGAACUUAAAAUACCCAUAUUAUCAGUAAUAAUAAUCCAAUUAUCAUAGGAAUGUUGAGAAAUGUAUUCGAGAGCUGAAAAUAUUCCAAUUGACUCUGCCGUAUAAAUGGAAGCAUUAUUAGGGAGUCUACACCCAUGACCCGUUUUGGCUUCUAAAUCAUAAAUAGCCAUUGAGACAGCUGACGUUGACGUAUUCUUUGAACCGUCUGUAUAAAUUUGCUUGUAACCUCUGUAUGAUUCUAAUUUGUUGUAAACAUCCUCUUUAAAUUCAAGAGAUUUAUCUAUAACAAUUUUAAUAGGAUAAAAUUUGCUUUCGUAAGAACCUGAAUAGCAUGGCAGGAUUACACUUUCAUAAAGAUUAUUUUGAAGUUUGAAUUCGACAGCUUCUUUAAGACAUUCUGUUAAGUUUGAAGAAGAAUUUACUAACUUAGGCAUUAAGGGGUGACCUGUUGAAGAACAAAUUUUGAGCAGAAAUUUAUAGUUAAGAUAACGGAAUCUUAUGGCUAAAGGAGGAAGUCCCAAGCUGAUUAGAGUGGCAGAAAGAACAUGCAAGUUAACAUUAUUAAAAGCACCAACUACAUCAAAGAAGACACAAGCCAGAAUUUUAUUGUUUGAUAAGGCCUCCUGAAUGUCCAAAUUCAAGUGACACAGACUUUCUCGAGCUGAUCGACCACGGCGAAAUCCAAAUUGAUUAUAAGGCAAUAAAUGGUUACUCUCUACAUAAAAUUCAA